rnacentral:rRNA from 1 species
UACGUAGGGUGCAAGCGUUAAUCGGAAUUACUGGGCGUAAAGCGUGCGCAGGCGGUGAUGUAAGACAGAUGUGAAAUCCCCGGGCUCAACCUGGGAACUGCAUUUGUGACUGCAUCGCUGGAGUACGGCAGAGGGGGAUGGAAUUCCGCGUGUAGCAGUGAAAUGCGUAGAUAUGCGGAGGAACACCGAUGGCGAAGGCAAUCCCCUGGGCCUGAACUGACGCUCAUGCACGAAAGCGUGGGGAGCAAACAGG